AACGCACCUUGCGCCCUUUGGUAUUCCGAAGGGCACACCUGUUUGAGUGUCAUUAUUUCCUCAACUCUAUUGUUUUUUUGCUAAAAUGUUAGUUGUUGGAUGUUGAGUGUUGCUGGACUUUUGGUUCAGCUCGCUUUAAAUUUAUGAGCAGGCUCUUAUCUCUUCGGACUGACUCAACGUAAUAAGAAAUUUUGUUGAGGAUGCUUUACAGCAGCCGAAUUUUAGGGAAAUGCCGCUACUAGUUCACCCUUACUUUUUAGACCUCAAAUCAGGUGGGACUACCCGCUGAACUUAA
rnacentral:misc_RNA from 1 species